rnacentral:rRNA from 1 species
UACGGGGGAUGCGAGCGUUAUCCGGAUUUAUUGGGUUUAAAGGGUGCGCAGGCGGAGGUGCAAGUCAGUGGUCAAAUUGCGGGGCUCAACCCCAUCCAGCCGUUGAAACUGGGGAUCUAGAGUGUGCGAGAGGUAUGCGGAAUGCGUGGUGUAGCGGUGAAAUGCAUAGAUAUCGCGCAGAACUCCGAUUGCGAAGGCAGCGUACCGGCGCCAGACUGACGCUGAGGCACGAAAGCGUGGGGAUCGAACAGG